rnacentral:snoRNA from 2 species
UCUCGAAUGAUGAUAAAAAUCUCAAUGUUCGCAGUAGGAGAGUAAAAAAAAAAAACUCCAUGACGAAACAUAGCCUUUCCUUAGAUGUCUGACAUAAAGC